rnacentral:rRNA from 1 species
GUGGGGAAUAUUGGACAAUGGGCGAAAGCCUGAUCCAGCCAUGCCGCGUGUGUGAAGAAGGUCUUCGGAUUGUAAAGCACUUUAAGUUGGGAGGAAGGGCAUUAACCUAAUACGUUAGUGUUUUGACGUUACCGACAGAAUAAGCACCGGCUAACUUCGUGCCAGCAGCCGCGGUAAUACGAAGGGUGCAAGCGUUAAUCGGAAUUACUGGGCGUAAAGCGCGCGUAGGUGGUUCGUUAAGUUGGAGGUGAAAGCCCCGGGCUCAACCUGGGAACUGCAUCCAAAACUGGCGAGCUAGAGUACGGUAGAGGGUGGUGGAAUUUCCUGUGUAGCGGUGAAAUGCGUAGAUAUAGGAAGGAACACCAGUGGCGAAGGCGACCACCUGGACUGAUACUGACACUGAGGUGCGAAAGCGUGGGGAGCAAACAGGAUUAGAAACCCGAGUAGUCC